GAUGAACGCUGGCGGCGUGCCUAAUACAUGCAAGUCGAACGCAUUGAGAGAAGUGCUUGCACUUUUCAAUUUGAGUGGCGAACGGGUGAGUAACACGUGGGCAACCUACCUGAUAGCGGGGGAUAACGAGUGGAAACAUUCGCUAAUACCGCAUAACAAUAGAGAAGGCAUCUUCUUUAUUUAAAAGGUGCUUUCACGCGUCACUAUCAGAUGGGCCCGCGGUGCAUUAGUUAGUUGGUGGGGUGAAGGCCUACCAAGACGAUGAUGCAUAGCCGAGUUGAGAGACUGAUCGGCCACAUUGGGACUGAGACACGGCCCAAACUCCUACGGGAGGCUGCAGUAGGGAAUCUUCCACAAUGGACGAAAGUCUGAUGGAGCAACGCCGCGUGUGUGAUGAAGGCUUUCGGGUCGUAAAGCACUGUUGUAUGGGAAGAAAUGCUAGGCUAGGAAAUGAGCUUAGUUUGACGGUACCAUACCAGCAAGGGACGGCUAAAUACGUGCCAGCAGCCGCCGUAA
rnacentral:rRNA from 1 species